rnacentral:rRNA from 1 species
AAUGCGGCGCGCCAUACACAUGCAAGUCGAACGCGACAGGGGCAACUCUGUUGAGUGGCGCACGGGUGAGUAACCCGUUAGAAAUCUCCCCUCGAGGGGGGGAUAACCUUCCGAAAGCCUUUCUAAUACAGUAUAAGACCACGGCUUCGAAAGGAGCUGAGGUCAAAGCGGAGGAUCGUAAGACUUCGCGCUUGACGAUGAGCCUGCGGCCCAUCAGGUAGUUGGCGGGGUAAUGGCCCACCAAGCCUAAGACGGGUAGCUGGUCUGAGAGGAUGAUCAGCCACACUGGAACUGAGACACGGUCCAGACUCCUACGGGAGGCAGCAGUGGGGAAUCUUGCGCAAUGGACGAAAGUCUGACGCAGCGACGCCGCGUGGGUGAUGAAGGCCUUCGGGUUGUAAAGCCCUGUGGGGAGGGACGAAUAAGUUCCGGUUAAUACCCGGAGCGAUGACGGUACCUCCUUAGCAAGCACCGGCUAACUCUGUGCCAGCAGCCGCGGUAAGACAGAGGGUGCAAACGUUGUUCGGAAUUACUGGGCGU